AGCAGGGCUACAAAUGCUCGGUGCAGCAGCGAUGUGCAGAACAACAACAACUCAUCAAACCAUGAGUGGUCCAGAGGUGGUGGGCGGCCAUAGUAGUCUGGGGGUACCUUGAGAGAAGAACCCCUGACCCAGUCGAAGCCAUCGCCAAGGUGAGAUGUUAUUAAUGGUAGCAGUACCAGCCACAGCCACGCAGCCGGGACUGAAGGAUAGGUCAUCGAUGGCCAGGACCUCGGAGGCUUCGCUGUCUGCUGAAAGUUGACCUCGAAUCACCACCUGGUUGACACACAGAAAACCUUCAAGAAAUCACUCAGUCAUCUCUUUUACCCUCUCUAUACAAUCUAUCUAUCUUUGUGCACUUUCUGUAUGUGUGUGCAUUAAAAGAUUUGCAUGUA